UACGUAGGGGGGCAAGCGUUGUCCGGAAUACUGGGCGUAAAGCGUGCGCAGGCGGUUCGUUAAGUUCGUUGUGAAAGCCCCGGGCUCAACCUGGGAACUGCAAUGGAAACUGGCGGGCUUGAGUGUGGCAGAGGGGGGGUGGAAUUCCGCGUGUAGCAGUGAAAUGCGUAGAGAUGCGGAGGAACACCGAUGGCGAAGGCAGCCCCCUGGGCCAACACUGACGCCUCAGGCACGAAAGCGUGGGGAGCAAACAGG
rnacentral:rRNA from 1 species